rnacentral:rRNA from 1 species
UACGUAGGGGGCAAGCGUUGUCCGGAUUUAUUGGGCGUAAAGAGCUCGUAGGCGGUUUGGUAAGUCAGGUGUGAAAUCUCCACGCUCAACGUGGAGGGGCCACCUGAUACUGCCAUGACUGGAGUCCGGUAGAGGAGUGUGGAAUUCCCUGUGUAGCGGUGAAAUGCGUAGAGAUGGGGGAGAACACUCGUGGCGAAGGCGGCCAGCUGGACCAGUUCUGACACUGAGGCGCGAUAGCGUGGGGAGCAAACAGG